UACGGGGGGGGUAAGCGUUGUUCGGAAUUACUGGGCGUAAAGGGCUCGUAGGCGGCCAACUAAGUCAUACGUGAAAUCCCUCAGCUUAACUGGGGAACUGCGUGUGAUACUGGAUGGCUUGGAUUUGGGAGAGGGAUGCGGAAUUCCAGGUGUAGCGGUGAAAUGCGUAGAUAUCUGGAGGAACACCAGUGGCGAAAGCGGCUUCCUGGUCCAGCACCGACGUCAGGCACGAAAGCGUGGGGAGCA
rnacentral:rRNA from 1 species